rnacentral:lncRNA from 1 species
UCAGCCUGAUACUUCUGUUGCUGGUAAUUCUUUUGCUUGUGUUUCCCAGUCUAGUCCUCUUGAACAAUGGGUGCUGGACUCAGCUGCUUCUGAUCAUAUCUCUGGUAAUAAAUUCCUUUUGUCAAUUAUUGCGUAUUCACAGUUUCUUCCCAACGUUACAUUAGCUAAUGGGUCUCAAACUAAAGCAAAAAGAGUUGGACAAGCAAAUCCUCUACCCUCUGUCACUCUAGAUUCCGUUCUUUAUGUCCCUGGCUGUCCUUUUAAUCUUGCAUCUAUGAGUCGUUUGACUCGUGCCCUCAAUUGUGGAAUAUACUUUAUUGAUGACUCUUUUAUUAUGCAGGACCUCAGUACGGGACAGACGAUUGGAACAGGACUUGAAUCAGACGGACUCUACUACCUUAACUCCCUAUUGCGGUAUAUAUUUUAUUGAUGACUCGUUUAUUACACAGGACAGCAGUACGGUACAGACGAUUGGAACAAGACUUUAAUCAGACGGACUCAACUACCUUAAUUCACUAACAUCCUCCAAGGCCUGUCUAGUUGCAGAUCCUCCAGACCUACUUCACAGUCGUUUAGGACAUCCUAGCUUGUCCAAGCUUCAGAAGAUGGUNNNN